GGGGGUAUGGCUCAGUGGUAGAGCACAUGCAUGAGGUCCUGGAUUCCAUCCUCAGUACCUCCA
rfam:Camelus ferus unplaced genomic scaffold scaffold765, whole genome shotgun sequence.